UACAGAGGGGGCAAGCGUUGUUCGGAAUUACUGGGCGUAAAGCGCACGUAGGCGGCGAUUCAAGUCAGAGGUGAAAGCCCGGGGCUCAACCCCGGAACUGCCUUUGAAACUAGAUUGCUAGAAUCCUGGAGAGGUGAGUGGAAUUCCGAGUGUAGAGGUGGAAUUCGUAGAUAUUAGGAAGAACACCAGUGGCGAAGGCGGCUCACUGGUCCGGUACUGACGCUGAGGUGCGAAAGCGUGGGGAGCAAACAGG
rnacentral:rRNA from 1 species